CCUACGGGAGGCUGCAGUGGGGAAUAUUGGACAAUGGGGGCAACCCUGAUCCAGCCAUGCCGCGUGUGUGAAGAAGGCCCUCGGGUUGUAAAGCACUUUCAGUGAGGAAGAACGCCUGGUGGUUAAUACCCAUCAGGAAAGACAUCACUCACAGAAGAAGCACCGGCUAACUCCGUGCCAGCAGCCGCGGUAAUACGGAGGGUGCGAGCGUUAAUCGGAAUUACUGGGCGUAAAGCGCGCGUAGGUGGCUUGAUAAGCCGGUUGUGAAAGCCCCGGGCUCAACCUGGGAACGGCAUCCGGAACUGUCAAGCUAGAGUGCAGGAGAGGACGGUAGAAUUCCCGGUGUAGCGGUGAAAUGCGUAGUGAUCGGGAGGAAUACCAGUGGCGAAGGCGGCCUUCUGGACUGACACUGACACUGAGGUGCGAAAGCGUGGGUAGCAAACAGGAUUAGAUACCCUUGUAGUC
rnacentral:rRNA from 1 species